CAAUAGCGUAUAUUAAAGCUGUUGCGGUUAAAAGGCUCGUAGUUGGAUUUCUGUCAAGGACAACUGGUCCGCCCCUCGGGUGAGCACAUAGUUUGGUCUUGGCAUCUUGUUGGAAACUGUUGCUGCACUUGGUUGUGUGGCGCAGUGUCCAGCACUUUCACUUUGAGGAAAUUGGAGUGUUUCAAGCAGGCACAUGCCUUUGGACACAGUAGCAUGGAAUAAUUAGAUUGGGCUUUUGCUCCAACUUGUCGGUUUCUGGAGCUGAGGUGAGAAUUAAUGGGGAUUGUUGGGGGCAUCCGAAUUUAGCCGUCAGAGGUGAAAUUCUUGGAUCUGCUAAAGACGGACAACUGCGAAAGCGUUUGCCCAGGAUGUUUUCAUUGA
rnacentral:rRNA from 1 species